rnacentral:rRNA from 1 species
AACGGCGGCCGUAACUAUCACGGUCCUAAGGUAGCGAAAUUCCUUGUCGGGUAAGUUCCGACCUGCACGAAUGGCGUAACGAUCUCCACACUGUCUCGGCCAGAGACUCGGUGAAAUUGCAGUCGCGGUGAAAAUUCCGUGUACCCGCAGAAAGACGGAAAGACCCUGUGCACCUUUACUAUAGCUUGACAUUGGAUUUUGGGCCUGCAUGUGUAGGAUAGGUGGGAGGCUGUGAACCCUGUACGCCAGUAUGGGGGGAGCCAUCCUUGAAAUACCACCCUUGCAUGUUUAAGAUCCUAACUUCUUCCGGUUAUCCCGGAGAAAGACAGUGUCUGGCGGGUAGUUUGACUGGGGCGGUCGCCUCCUAAAGUGUAACGGAGGCAUGCAAAGGUUCCCUCAGCCUGAUCGGAAACCAGGCGCUGAGUGCAAACGCAUAAGGGAGCUUGACUGUAAGAGAGACAUCUCGAACAGGAACGAAAGUUGGCGUUAGUGAUCCGGUGGUCCCGAAUGGAAGGGCCAUCGCUCAUUGGAUAAAAGGUACGCCGGGGAUAACAGGCUGAUCGCAUCCAAGAGUUCACAUCGACGAUGCGGUUUGGCACCUCGAUGUCGGCUCAUCACAUCCUGGGGCUGAAGCAGGUCCCAAGGGUACGGCUGUUCGCCGUUUAAAGUGGUACGCGAGCUGGGUUUAAAACGUCGUGAGACAGUUUGGUCCCUAUCUUCUGUGGGCGAAGGAGAAUUGAGAGGGCCUGUCCCUAGUACGAGAGGACCGGGAUGGACGCACCCCUGGUGAUCCUGUUGUCGCGCCAGCGGCAUAGCAGGGUAGCUAUGUGCGGAAGGGAUAACCGCUGAAAGCAUCUAAGCGGGAAGCCUGCCUCAAGAUAAGUUCUCCCCUCGAAAGAGCUGAAGGGCCCGGGUAGACUACCCGGUCGAUAGGCUGGAGGUGUAAGCGCGGCGACGUGCUCAGCUGACCAGUACUAAUAGCCCGAGCGGCUUAUUUUU